GGCGAAGUGGCGGAAUCGGCAGACGCACCGCACUCAAAAUGCGGCGUCCGUAAGGGCGUGUGGGUUCAAGUCCCUCCUUCGCUACCA
rnacentral:tRNA from 1 species